AAAUGAAUAGACGGGGGCCCGCACAAGCGGCGGAGCAUGUGGAUUAAUUCGAUGCAACGCGAAGAACCUUACCAAGGCUUGACAUAUACCGGAAACACCUAGAGAUAGGUGCCCCGCAAGGUCGGUAUACAGGUGGUGCAUGGUUGUCGUCAGCUCGUGUCGUGAGAUGUUGGGUUAAGUCCCGCAACGAGCGCAACCCUCGUUCUAUGUUGCCAGCGCGUAAUGGCGGGGACUCAUAGAAGACUGCCGGGGUCAACUCGGAGGAAGGUGGGGAUGACGUCAAAUCAUCAUGCCCCUUAUGUCUUGGGCUUCACACAUGCUACAAUGGCCGGUACAAAGGGCUGCGAAAUCGCAAGAUGGAGCGAAUCCCAAAAAACCGGUCUCAGUUCGGAUUGGGGUCUGCAACUCGACCCCAUGAAGUCGGAGUCGCUAGUAAUCGCAGAUCAGCAACGCUGCGGUGAAUACGUUCCCGGGCCUUGUACACACCGCCCGU
rnacentral:rRNA from 1 species